rnacentral:rRNA from 1 species
ACGUAGGGUGCGAGCGUUAAUCGGAAUUACUGGGCGUAAAGCGUGCGCAGGCGGUUUUGUAAGCCAGAUGUGAAAUCCCCGGGCUUAACCUGGGAAUGGCAUUUGGGACUGCAAGGCUUGAGUGCGGCAGAGGAGACUGGAAUUCCUGGUGUAGCAGUGAAAUGCGUAGAUAUCAAGAGGAACACCUGAGGUGAAGACGGGUUGCUGGGCUGACACUGACGCUGAGGCGCGAAAGCCAGGGGAGCAAACGGGA